GAGAAAUGAGGAAAUGACAAGUCUUGAAUUCCAGUGAAGACUCUAAUCCAACUCUGAUCUCAAUGAAGUG